rnacentral:rRNA from 1 species
GACGAACGCUGGCGGCGUGCCUAAUACAUGCAAGUCGAGCGGAAGUUGGAGAGCUUGCUCUUCAACUUUAGCGGCGGACGGGUGAGUAACACGUGGGCAACCUGCCCUGCAGAUCGGGAUAACUCCGGGAAACCGGUGCUAAUACCGAAUAGUUUUCGCCACCUCCUGGUGGCGUACGGAAAGACGGUUUCGGCUGUCACUGCAGGAUGGGCCCGCGGCGCAUUAGCUAGUUGGUGGGGUAACGGCCCACCAAGGCGACGAUGCGUAGCCGACCGGAGGGGGUGAUCGGCCAAACUGGGACUGAGACACGGCCCAGACUCCUACGGGAGGCAGCAGUAGGGAAUCUUCUGCAAUGGACGAAAGUCUGACGGAGCAACGCCGCGUGAGUGACGAAGGUUUUCGGAUCGUAAAACUCUGUUGUGAGGGAAGAACAAGUACCACUUAACUACUGGUACCUUGACGGUACCUCACCAGAAAGCCACGGCUAACUACGUGCCAGCAGCCGCGGUAACAC